AGAUUCCAUUGUUCCACCCUGAACGCUCCCAAUCUUGUCUGAUCUCGGAAGCUAAGCAGGGUCGGGCCUGGUUAGUACUUGGAUGGGAGACUGCUUUUCAUUUUAAGAACAUAUCUU
ensembl:rRNA 5S_rRNA 5S ribosomal RNA